rnacentral:rRNA from 1 species
AGACAGCAGCAGCCGCGGUAAUACGUAGGGUGCGAGCGUUAAUCGGAAUUACUGGGCGUAAAGCGUGCGCAGGCGGUUGUGUAAGACAGGUGUGAAAUCCCCGGGCUUAACCUGGGAACUGCGCUUGUGACUGCACAGCUAGAGUAUGGCAGAGGGGGGUGGAAUUCCACGUGUAGCAGUGAAAUGCGUAGAGAUGUGGAGGAACACCGAUGGCGAAGGCAGCCCCCUGGGCCAAUACUGACGCUCAUGCACGAAAGCGUGGGGAGCAAACAGGAUUAGAUACCCCUGUAGUCCCUGUCUCUUAUAC